rnacentral:rRNA from 1 species
GAACCUUACCCAGGCUUGAACAGCGAGUGACCAUUUCCGAAAGGGAACUUCCGCAAGGACACUCGUAGAGGUGCUGCAUGGCUGUCGUCAGCUCGUGUCGUGAGAUGUUGGGUUAAGUCCCGCAACGAGCGCAACCCUUGUUUGCUGUUGCCAUCAGGUAAUGCUGGGCACUCUGCAAAGACUGCCGGUGAUAAACCGGAGGAAGGUGGGGAUGACGUCAAGUCAGCAUGGCCUUUAUGUCUGGGGCUACACACGUGCUACAAUGGCCGAUACAAACCGUCGCGAGCCCGCAAGGGGGAGCUAAUCGGAGAAAGUCGGUCUCAGUUCGGAUAGCAGGCUGCAACUCGCCUGCUUGAAGUUGGAGUCGCUAGUAACCGCGGAUCAGCACGCCGUGGUGAAUACGUUCCCGGGCCUUGUCACACCGA